rnacentral:rRNA from 1 species
UACGUAGGGGGCGAGCGUUAUCCGGAUUUACUGGGCGUAAAGCGCGUUAAGGCGGUUGGCAAAGUUGGUGGUGAAAUUUCAGGGCUCAACCCUGAAACUGCCUCCAAUACUGGUCGACUUGAGUGCGAGAGAGGAAGGUGGAAUUCCCGGUGUAGUAGUGAAAUGCGUAGAUAUCGGGAGGAACACCAGUGGCGAAGGCGGCCUUCUGGCUCGCAACUGACGCUGUAGCGCGAAAGCGUGGGGAGCGAACAGG